UACGAAGGGGGCUAGCGUUGUUCGGAAUUACUGGGCGUAAAGCGCAUGUAGGCGGGUCGUUAAGUCGGGGGUGAAAGCCCAGAGCUCAACUCUGGAACUGCCUUCGAUACUGGCGACCUGGACCCAAGGAGAGGCGAGUGGAAUUGCGAGUGUAGAGGUGAAAUUCGUAGAUAUUCGCAGGAACACCAGUGGCGAAGGCGACUCGCUGGACUUGUGGUGACGCUGAGAUGAGAAAGCGUGGGGAGCAAACAGG
rnacentral:rRNA from 1 species